rnacentral:rRNA from 1 species
CCCAUCGGGCGGUAAAUUCCGUCCAGGCUAAAUACGGGCGAGAGACCGAUAGCGAACAAGUACCGCGAGGGAAAGAUGAAAGGACGCCGCCCGCGACGUAGCGAGAAGUCCACUGAACCUUAUCAUUUAGAGGAAGGAGAAGUCGUAACAAGGUUUCCGUAGGUGAACCUGCGGAAGGAUCAUU